rnacentral:rRNA from 1 species
AAUCAACGCUGGCGGCGUGCCUCAGACAUGCAAGUCGAACGAUUAAACUUUCCUUCGGGAAAGAUAUAAAGUGGCGCACGGGUGAGUAACACGUAGGUAAUGUACCUUUGGGUGGGGAAUAACCAUCGGAAACGAUGGCUAAUACCGCAUAAUGCAGCGGCAUCGCAAGAUGACAGUUGUUAAAGAUUUAUCGCCUAAAGAGCAGCCUGCGGCAGAUUAGGUAGNGGUAAGGUAAUGGCUUACCAAGCCUGCGAUCUGUAACCGACCUGAGAGGGUGGUCGGUCACACUGACACUGAA